UUACGCCAUGUUAAUCACUUUGGGGCAGAAAGUCGAGCAAUUUCCGGGAUAAGCCAAAGCAGUCACCCUGGCGGGUCAACGGGUGGCGCUCGUGUGCAAAACAAGCAGCGGUAGAAGAAGGUUGGCCCGGAUUGGCCCACGUGACGUCAGGCUAGCAAAUGAAUUGGAGUCAGGUGUGCGGGAGGAAUUUAAUCGAGCGCGGUGCACAGCUGCGGCAAGAUGGCGACCGAGCGAGCACACGAGCAAAUGUUUGUCGCUUGUCGUCCUUUCUCGCGAUGUCCUUUUGUUUGUUCCCCGAUUUGCAGCGUAGGUGGUGGGACUGCAGGACGCCACGACCCGUUCGCCUUUCCCUUGAUGUCGUGCAUUGUGCUCUUCGUUUCUCUUGCCGCGUUUUCAACUUUUGGGGGGUUUGUUUUAAAGCUGGCCAGCUUUUUUUGGGGGGGGGGGGGGGGGUUGUUUUAAAUUGUUGCAAAUGACAAAACCGAUGUCUUUGUGAAUUGAACAAUGAAAGGUUUGGGUUUGUGUGUUUGACCAAAUGUUUGAACGUUUUCUCUCGGGUGGUACGCACUUAUUUAUCCGAUUCAUGUAAAUGUUUGGGGUUUUUUUUCCCUUCAGCCAAUAUGAGGAAGCCCAAUUGCAUGUCUAACCCCCUCCCCCCCCCCUUGCAGGUUAUUCACCAAUGUUCUAUAAACGUGAAUAUUAUUGUGGAAGCCUGAAUCGCUUCACGAAUGCACAUUUUCAGCGCUUUCUGCUCCCAACACAGCCCAAAGUCCAUCUUCAUUCGUCCACUUGCGGGCUGCGAGAGGCAACAAGAUCCAUGAGGCGAGAGUAAGAGAACCAACGGUUUGAGUCGUGAGACCUGCAGAACCCGAGUGUUUUUCAUUUUAUUUGUUUUUUUUGGGACAGGAUGCGCCAGCGAAAUAGAGCAGCAUGAAGACGAGUAGAAGAGGAGCCCAAUGAAUUGGAAGAGUGUGCAGAGGGCUCACAUGGAGCUGAAUGGAAUGAGAACAAGGAGCAGUUCCACAAGCGAAGCGAGCGGCGCACCGAUGAGGAUCAUCCGUCUGCGGGCUGCCUGAAAAUGCUGAACAGGAGGGGCCAAAGUAUUGAGCUUUGCGGUGUGCCUCGUGCUCGGCGUGGGUUGUCAAUAUCCGAUGUUUGGAGCCGGCGGUGGAAUCUGUCUUUGUGGGGACUCGAGUGCUCUUUGGCAAGGCGUGUUGCUGGUCAGCUAGUUGUUUGGCUUUUCUAGAUCCAGAGCAACUUUGUGGCGUUUGUCAGUUGGGAAGCUGCUUUGUGGGCGACAGUGUAGGCAGGCUCGUUUUGCCGGAUGAAGGAAGGGUCGAAAUGUCAUCAAACACACGGCCAAUGAAUGUGUGAGUGGUGUCUAACUGUCCCCCCCCUCUUUCAGGGCUCUGACAUGGAUGUGAUCCGGAAGAAGGACCACUUGCUCUCGUCGAAGGGGCUCCAAGCGUUCCCAAACGAGAGACGCGGAGGCCAUGGCACUGGGAGAGUGAAAAGCCAAACCGACAGGGGCAGAGUAUGUCGACGUACCGCUCGGGUGUUUGUCGCCGCCGCUCUCACUAACUCACUGGGUGUGCACUCACUAACGCCAAAGCAUGAUGAGGAUUUGGGACUGAGCCUGCUGCGGUCAAGGCCGUCAGCCUCUCAACGACCAAUUCAAUAAAA